GACGAACGCUGGCGGCGUGCUUAACACAUGCAAGUCGAACGGAAAGGCCCUGCUUUUGUGGGGUGCUCGAGUGGCGAACGGGUGAGUAACACGUGAGUAACCUGCCCUUGACUUUGGGAUAACUUCAGGAAACUGGGGCUAAUAUCGGAUAGGAGCUCCUGCUGCAUGGUGGGAGUUGGAAAGUUUCGGCGGUUGGGGAUGGACUCGCGGGUUAUCAGCUUGUUGGUGGGGUAGGUGCUUACCAAGGCUUUGACGGGUAGCCGGCCUGGGAGGGUGACCGGCCACAUUGGGACUGAGAUACGGACCAGACUCCAACGGGAGGCAGCGGUGGGGAAUAUUGCACAAUGGGCGGAAGCCUGAUGCAGCAACGCCGCGUGCGGGAUGACGGCCUUCGGGUUGUAAACCGCUUUCGACUGUGACGAAGCGUGAGUGACGGUAAUGGGUAAAGAAGCACCGGCUAACUACGUG
rnacentral:rRNA from 1 species